AUAGGCAUCUGUAGAGGAAGUGUAAAAGCCAAUAUGAAGGUUUGGAAAUAUCUAAAAGUUUGAUGACGUGAUGAGAGUGCUGUAGGAGUGGUGGGGAAUUCAAGCCAUCUUGAGAGUCACAUCCAAAGAGAUCAUAUAGGUCAAUCGAGUCCAGUUCAUUGGGAGGUGGGGUGUUUGGGUUGAAAUUUCAGAAGGGGGCAAAAAAAGAAAAAAGAAGUGUGAGGAUAAUUAUGAAGACGGGGAAAUGAAUUUCGGCGAUGCUUACCAGAUGAUGAAGGCAAGCUACUUGUUCCCCAAGUAAUAUCUGUCCUCUUUUUCCUCUUUUUCCUUUUACAAAAAUUAUAAUUAAAAGCAAAAGAAGCAGGAUCUGCGCGUGUGGGGCCCAUCCGCACGGAUGGUGCAUUGGUCAAUUUACGAAAAUAUCCUAUCUCCAUCUCACCGCGCGUGUGUCAACAGCACCAAAAUGUUUGUUAAAAAAAACAAAACAAAAACAAACAAAAUCAACCGUUCAAAUAUCAGAUUUAUUGAUCA